UUGGCCAAAAUGAUGGAAAAGGUUUAUUUUGAAAAGUCAAAAUUUCACUUCACUUGAAAUUAAUUCAAGUAAGUCAAAAAAUGCCAUUUUGAUUGGUGAAGUUUUGGCACAUGAAAGUUAUAUUUUUGGAAAGAGGGGAUCAAAUGUGACUUGUAGGAAAAAACCCCACCCAAAUUGGCCAAAUGGUUUGAGAGAUAUGGCCUUUUGAAGUUCAAGAAUUUUUGAAAACGAUUUGAUCAUAACUUG
rnacentral:lncRNA from 1 species